CCAUGAUUUACCCCAUGCCACAGCAGCUGCUUUUAGUGGGGAUAGGAUUGCCCAUUUUAUGCCAUGUAAGUGCCAGUUUGUAGGGUAGAUGGUAGCCGUUUACUGUGUUGAUGAUAUUGGUCUUACUUAACGAAGCUUCAACCCAUGCUUGAGUGAUAGCUGUAAAGGUAGAUCAAUGGUGUAUAUAGUAAGGAAACUCCUCAGAGGGUAU
rnacentral:lncRNA from 1 species